GGCCAAUAAAGCGAGAUGAGCGCCGCAACCCCAGAGUCGGCCACGACUGGACCUAAUUGUCAGGGGUCCCUUUACGCACACUGUGGAGUAACCGUUUGAACUCAUUGAGCUUUUAUGUCUGAGUAGACGUAACAUGGUUUAAAGAACUUAAGCGGGGCUGGCCCACACCUCUCAAAAUAAAACAGCAUCUUUUCCGUCCAGUUGCCAAUGCAUUUCUUUUACUAAGGCAUGUAGGCCAUCAGGUCACUUUGAACAAAAGCAACUCUUUCCAGGAUCACUUUCCAGCCUCUGUUUCUUCAAGCGCACCUGCCCAGCAGUGGCUGCAAUUGGAACAUUUCUCUAGUGCCUUCCUUUAGGAUGGUUUCUUCUCAUCUCAUUUACUGGAUGGGGAAGAGUGUGAACAGGAUCGGACUCUUACAUUAGCCCAGCGGCACAGGAAACAGCUAUGCUGGUGGAGCUCCCUUCUCCCCGCCUGCUGCCAAGAUAAUGUGGGGAGGAGGGUUGCAAGACGAUGCCAGAGAAGCUUCCUUCUCCCGCGGAUGCUCAGCUCCCACAUCUGCUGCUACUGCUGGGUGUUAGCCGGAGGGAGUGUGCAACCUGGGAAAGGACACAUCCAGUUCCCGGACCGGAUGGCUGUGUGGUGUCAAAUGUUAAGCAUACACAUGGAUGCAGCAGGCGGAGGCAAGAGAGGAGGGGCUGGUGGAAACUUGGCCUGGACAGGAACUAGCAACGUUCCCCUUUUCCUCUGGAGCCCAUGGAAGGCAGAGGAAAAGUGCAGGGGCAGAACUGUUUGAAGGAAUUUGGCUGUACUUCUACAGGCAGUUUUUAAGUAUUGGACAGAGUAGCUCCAGCUUGCAGACAUCAUCCAUUGAGUUAAAGAGUUGCUCUUGUUUUUAAAAAUUAACACUACCCAAAAUAUCCCAGGGUUCACUUAACUCGGCUUCUCUUGUCAGAGAACUGACAAGGAUCUGGCAUCAGAAAAUAGCCAGGAUGCGGGUUGGGGAACACUGACGUAGACCAUAACUUCCUCUGGAGGUGGGGGGAAAGAGGAGGGGCUUUCAUUCCUUGACAAGUUUAGUAACACUUUUUUUAAAAGGGUUUGUAUCCCAUCCUUCCUCGAAGCCCAUAACUUUGAGCAAAUAGCAUUUUACCCUCAAAGCAACCCUGUGAGGUCGGUUGAGUGACUUGCCCACAGACUCCUGGUGAGCCUCAUUGUGGUGGAUGCAGUGAGAAGAGAGCAGCGAUCAGGAUCUAACCACUGCCCCUCUGGCUGUUUCUGCAGCAUAUCCACCUUCCUUCCUUCUGGUUGUGCUGUCUGUCAGUCUUAUUUAGCACAGAGUUGGCUGGGUGUAAUGGAGUUAAGUGGGAGACCCUACCUUGAAGGCAGUGGUUGAAUGACUUCCUUCCAGAAUCUAUGGACCUGCCACUCCUAGUGUACUGCAGGAGGAAAGGGCUAGAGGGAUGCUUGGCCUGAACUUCUGGUUCUGAAUUGGAAGCUGCCAAUCGGCCACAAUGGCGAUGCAGAGGUGUCACUCUACUGCUAUAACCCUGUGCUUGGCAUUGGUCAUUUUGGAUGGCAGCCUCACUCAAUUUAAUGCCAAUGUCCAUCCUUGGUAUGCUUUUCUACGCUGCAUUCUUCCUUUCCAAAGGAUUUUGGUGGAAAAUGCUCCAGCACAGUAUCACUCCUUCAAAACCAUGUUCAUAUUCGUUAUUACUGAGCAAUUUUUCUUCCGGUUUUCUUUAUGAGGAAAUUAUUACAGUUGUGCCACAGUGAGGUUUGUUGUCUCCCCCCCCCCCCCCGGCCCAGCUGCUUUAGGGAGCUUAAAUGCUGCAACAGUGCAGACCACUUGAAAUGACCUGUUCACCUUGACAGCAUUAAACAUUUAGCUCACAAUCUAACAUGGCAUUAGGGCACACUUAAAUCCAUUGAAAUUAAUGGCCUUAAGUGGAAACUGCGUUGGGAUUUCUUUCUUCAAUUUGUAGAACAAUAAAUAUUUUGGUUAACCUGAGUUGCCUCCCCCCACAAAGGAGAAGUAUAUCAUGUAAUAUUUCUUGCUAAUGGCACAAUGGAAAAGAUGUUUUUUGAAAUAUUAGCUUAAACUGCCGUUAGCUCCGCUACCUUCAUCAGAGACACUGACCCAACUGAGCAAUGCAUUUGAGCAAAUUUAUUGCUCGUUUCGUCUCCCCUGCCCCAAACUGGUUUCACUACCUAGCCAAGCUAUGACUGAAGUAGAAAAUACUGAAUUUCAUUUACAUUUGUCAUAUGCUAACAAGAUUCAUGAUUUCUCCCUCCCACUAUAAUCUGUGCAGUAAGCAGGUUUCAAUUGCCAGUACUUAUUUUAGCAUUGUCCCCAGGAUUUGGUCCUCACUACAGCUUCCUCUAUGCCAAACUCAGUGCAAAAAUGAAAAGGGCAUUCUUCCAGACUUUGCUGUGCACAUUUCCAUUCAUUACCUGCAGUUUCCUGGACCACUGUACUGAUUUACUAAGUAGAUCGGCAGUGGCUACGUAAACUGUCUUGCAGGGAGAAAGAGACCAGCUAUCUAUUUUUUACUUUCCUCACCAAACCAUGCAAACAUACAAGAUAUUUCUCUGUAGCAGAUGCUCAUCAUUUUUGUAUGUAUGGGUGACUGCUUUGAAAAUCCUGAUCUCACCUAUUGUGUCUACUAUUCUUAUUUCCACCCAGCGCUGUACCUAGUGGAAUGGCGAUACAGUACAGGGAAAAUAAAUCUGCUCGUUGCAACUUUGCUAGAAGGUACAGGCACCUUCUGGUUAAAGUCUGAAAUAGCUCACCUUGCACAAUUUGUGAAACACCCAGCCAAAACAUGGCCUUGACAAUCAGCCUGUUUGUCAUUGCAGGCAGGCAGCUAAAGUACGUAGGUUUAUCAAAAGUCCUGCUGGGUGCAAUCAAUAGCUGGGGAAGGGAGCUGGAUGGAACAUGGGCUGUUGAGGGGCCCAAUUUCAACUUCAGUGGUUUCUAAAGUCACCCAACCUUACUGGUUUAAUACGUUUGUAGUCUAAUGCAGUAACUUGAUGAAUCAAAAAGUUGUGCUUGCAGUAGUUUAGGAACAUGACUGCUUAUGGUAAGGAAACUAAAACGGUUGCCAGAUGAUAAAAUGAAGGGAUUGAAAAGUAAGAUGCAGGGCAUAAUAUAUUGCAUAACAUUGCCUUUUGGAAUGCAGAAAACAUCGGUGUACAAGUUGUCAUUCGUUUUGACACUUACAGGGUUCUUUUUCAUUGAGACAUUGUGUACACCGGCAUGUUCCAAGACAGAAUUGCACCGUGUAGUUAUAGUAUGUAAAUAUUUGUAUUAAAAGAAUUAAGUCUGUAUAUAUUCUGAAUCUCUAGUGAACUUUUGAUACGGGUUGGAAGCAGGGUUGUAAAUUCUCACUGACAAAGCUUUGGAUACAGAUAACAGGAUGGAAGACCGGGGCAUUAAAUGGCUGUACUUGAUGAUACUGGAUUCAUGCUUGGGUCAGGCUGCUUUUUUUCAGUUGUGCCUUGUGGAGGGAUGAAGCUUUUACAUACUACUUGCAAUAUGAUUAUGAAAAUACCAUGCCAAAUGAUGUUAAAAAAAAAUGAAAGGAAAAGACACCAUUGAUUCUGUAAAAAGCUUUAAGAGCAAAUAAACCAACUUCAAACUGCCACCUAAAUAAAUGCCUAAACAUGAUUAUUGCAAGCAAGGUUAGGGAAGAAUUCUAUAUGAAAAGUGAACAGGCUCUCUCUCUCGCUCUGUGUGUAUGUGUGUCUAGUACGCAACCUAACCUUUUACAGGCCACUAGCUAUUGUACUCUGAUAUACAGGGCUGCUUUAAAGAAAAUGCUGAUGAUGGGCUUGGUUUUUCAAAAGCUCUGUGCCAAACUUCCAGCUUUUGCAUAGAAAUUACACAGGGACAGAUAGUGUAACAGAAUCCCAAGCCACAGCAACUCGAUAAGAAGUGGCUUUCGAAAAGUUCUCCAUCCUGUUCAUUCCAGGGCCAACGUUUUAAGGAUCUUUUUGAAGUAUAACAAACUGCGGCAUACAUUUUAAUGCAAAAAAGAAAGCCAAGAAAACAGUUGCAAGAAAACCAAGACAAACCAUAGCUUUAUUUUCCAGUUUGUGAUUAUGGUGAACUGAAAAAACAAAACAAAAAUUACAGGAAUGUAUUCUCUGUCUGGGAAGAGAACCAUUAUAUAAAACCAUCAAGGAAGUUCUGCUAAGCGGUAACAGGCUUUUGGCUUGGAAGUGGAGAAAAGCCUAGAACCUUUUCCACAGAACAUGGAUGGAGUUCCUUCCUCAGUGUAUCAUUUCUAGGAGGUUAGUGCUCUUAAAAAGAGUUUUAAGACAAAUGCAGCUUAAUUAACAAAUGGCCACUUUAUAAAUAGACUUGACACUUUUUUUAAAAAAAGCUCAUGCUUUUUAGCUAGCUCCUGCUAGCUAAAACUGAUCCACGAUACCCCCUCGUUUAUAUGAUUUUCUCAAAUCAAGACUUCAGCAGCAGUUUGAGUCUGAAACUGCUAUAUAUACAUGAGCAGAGGAAAAGCUACCGAGACAGUGGAGAGACUGAAUACCAGAGCCCCAGCAGCUGAGUGAUGGACUGCCACUGAGCCCCCAGUCCUUUAAUUUGUCAUCACACAAUGACUGGUUUAUGCAACCAACUAGGCUUGCAUAUUGAAUUCACGUACUGUAGCAGGCAGUCUUUACUGAACAGCAGCACAACUAAAAAUGGCUCAUGCCAGACAAACCACUCCAAAUGCAGUGUGAAAAUUAACAAGGCACUCCCAAGUUCUUUUCAGAGACAACCAUUAUAUUUCCGAAACAUGAAGUGUGACUAACCUCUAUUCUAGGUGGAUGCAAGGCAGUCUCUGCUGCUGCGUACAAGUACUGUUACUGUCACCAUAUAUAUGUAUUCAAAUGGUUUCAAAUAUACCAUUGUAUUCAGGCUUGUAAAGAUGAUUAAUGUCGGUCUUAUUGCCCCCAUUUUGCAGAUGGGGCUUAAAGGUUUUGAGUUGCCUGGAGCCACUUAGUAAAUUCACAGUGGGAUUCAA